GAUGAACGCUGGCGGCGUGCCUAAUACAUGCAAGUCGAGCGAACGGACGAGAAGCUUGCUUUUCUGAUGUUAGCGGCGGACGGGUGAGUAACACGUGGAUAACCUACCUAUAAGACUGGGAUAACUUCGGGAAACCGGAGCUAAUACCGGAUAAUAUUUUGAACCGCAUGGUUCAAAAGUGAAAGACGGUCUUGCUGUCACUUAUAGAUGGAUCCGCGCUGCAUUAGCUAGUUGGUAAGGUAACGGCUUACCAAGGCAACGAUGCAUAGCCGACCUGAGAGGGGGAUCGGCCACAAUGGAACUGAGGCACGGUCCAGACUCCUACGGGAGGCAGCAGUAGGGAAUCUUCCGCAAUGGGCGAAAGCCUGACGGAGCAACGCCGCGUGAGUGAUGAAGGUCUUCGGAUCGGAAAACUCUGUUAUUAGGGAAGAACAUAUGUGUAAGUAACUGUGCACAUCUUGACGGUACCUAAUCAGAAAGCCACGGCUAACUACGUG
rnacentral:rRNA from 1 species